rnacentral:lncRNA from 1 species
ACACAAUAUACCCAAGAUGGUCAGGGCUUGGUUUUACACAUUUUAGGAAGGCAUGAGACAUCAAUCAAUAUAUAAGAAGUACAUUAGUUCUGUGUCCAGAAAGGAUGAGACAACUCAAAGCAAGCCCCACUCCCACCACUACUAGAGGCUUACAAGUCACAGAUGCUUUUACACAAUGCUGAUCAAUCACAGUAUGUGAGUGUCCAAAUAUGUGUACCCUGUCUUGGCCAAUGUACUCUCCUACCUUCUUCCUUCCAUGUUGGAGUGUAUUGGCUGAAAAAGAUAUGAAGCUACGUGUCUCUUUGGGAUGGAGCGGAGAUCCUGUCUAUCCUAAUGUGUCCUACAGAAAUACUCCUUGUUGUCUGCAAUCAAGUGGUUUUUCUCACACAGCACAUUUUUAAAUUAAGACCAUUGCUGGCACAUUUUGCAUUACUGGCAUUGUUUGGAAGCAUAAUGCAACAGAUGGAGGAAAAGCCAUUUGAUAUCAAUUCAGUAGCAAUGUGCCCAGCACACGGUAUGAAGCACAGAUGUUUAUAUGGAAUGGCCAUGAAGUUGGAAAAUGAAAACUUGGAAGAAAGCUAUUGA